rnacentral:sRNA from 1 species
UGUGUGUGUGUGUGUGUGUGUGUGUGUGUGUGUGUGUACAGAUGCAGAAGCCAAAGAGGGUGUUGGAGCUGCUGAGCUACCCGAUGUAGAUAUUGGGAACUGAACUCAGAUCCUCAGAAGAACAUCAACUCUCUUAACACCUCUCCAGCCCCUACCUUGGUUUUAGACAGUGUCUUAACUGCCUAGGCUGGCUGGACACACCAGUCUCCACCUCCCCAGCUCCAGAAUUACAAGUGAGCAUCACACACUGGUUCUGGGAUAAAACUCAAAUCCUCAUGCUUGUGUAGCAAGCACUUUACCCACUGAACCAUCUCCCCAGCCCUCGGUUUCUGUACUUCAAGAAACUAAGUUUCUUUUUCGAUAAAGAAAAACCAACUUGAAAAGACACAGAAAAUUCAAGUACGUGCUUCUGAGUGACAGGAGCCAGCCUGUGAGGGCUUCUCACAUCAUACCAAGCUAGAAUCUGGAAAUCGAAGGCUGCUAGUGGUGGUCCGGUGCUGCAUGGGCAGGGGGAGCAUUUCAGGAUGAUGAAACCGUUCUGUGUGAUUUUACUUCAAGGUGGAUACAGGCCACACUGCUCUUGUCAAAACCCACCAAAUGAUGCAUUCAAAUUAAAAUGUGGUCUCUGGCUUUGUGGCAGAGUACUUCCCUUUCAUCCCUGAGGCCUUAGGCUCCACCCUCAGCAUCUCACGAAGCAAAUGGAGAUCUUAACUGUAAGAAGACAUCUGCAGUUUCACUGGAGGAAAUACUAAUGUUGCUUGGCUAAAGAAAGGCUUUACUUAUAAAGUCAUCCCUGAGGGAAUACAGGGAGACAGCUUGGGAGCUGUGCAGCCUACUAGGAGGAAGAAUCAGAAUGACCUGAGAGCUAGGUUCUGAGUGAAUUGACCUAGAGAGGGUUAGUUUUCCCAGCAUAACAGAUGCUCCCCCUCCCCUUUUAAUGAGAGAUAAAGGUUAAGUACUAUGGCCAAGGUCACACAACUAACAGAGUCCACACUGGAAGCCUGGCAGAGACAGGCUGCUCCUAACCACCACACCAGUUCCAGACGCUCUGCUGUUAACUAUUACAGUUGGGCAUGUCAAGCAAGUUGUGUUAAAUGACAUUAGGACUCAUCAUAGACUGGACCAAAGAAACUGCAGGUCAGAUUCAGGAAACCCUUCUUGCUUUGGUUAUCUCCAAGGCCUGAGCAGUUGCUUAUGCUAAGUGAGGGCAUGCCCCUGCCUGGGAAGCAGCACAGGAAGCAAGGACAGGUAAACACGGACUUUCGCUAGGGUCAUCAGCUUCUCUUGCAAUGGAGAGCUCAGCCCAGGUCUGGGACUCUGCUUCCAAACACACCCUCUUCCCAGAAACCGAAGCUCUCUUGCUACCCACAGUCCUAGGGUCCCUCUGUUGCAGGUUAUCUGUGGUUCUCUGAGCAUAGCUUUGGCACUCUAGGCUCCUCACAUAGGCCUAGGGUCCAGCUUGUGACAGGCUGGCCAAUUAGAGCUUUCCAUCUUUGAGAACACAUUAGUUCAGGGAUGACAUUCAGAGCCAAUCAGAGUGAGAUUUUUCUCAAGCCUUCUGGAAAGAAUUUUUCCCCACUGUGAUUCUGUGCAGGUGGGGUCCAUAACGCCUCCACCAAGAGAUGAGGAGAAUCAAGUCUGCUCAUCCCUUGAGUCUCUUGAAUCUAGCCCUUCCUGAAGCCUGAUACCUAGGGCGUUUGGAAUUUUCAUUUAUCUGUUGGAAUGAUUUAGCAUUCAAGUUCUUUUUUAAAUUGCUAGUAACCAAUUUCAGAGGCCUUUGCCUAAUAACAGAACUGACUCUACCCAAACCCCAGCAGAGGUGAAAGGAGGACAUGUUAUUCCUAAGUGAGUACUGGAGGCAUACACUCCUUGGUCAAAUGCCAACUUUCUCUGGGGUAGGUCCUGCAAGUGAGGCCAGGUUAGCCAGGCUUCCCCCAGGCUUCACUCAGGGUCUUCAGCGGUAAACAAAAAAUGGCUAAGUAGCCUUUGGCCCUAAUGAGAUCUUAGAGCCCAGAAUCCAUAACAAAAGAGGGAACAUGUGUUCCUUCCAAAGGCGCAUGCUUCCUAUGCUUUGUUAGCACAGUAAGCUGUGAUCUGAGGUGUGACAUCCUGGGUGCAUUUGAAUCUCUUAGCACUUAUCUCAUGCCCUUUUGAUACUAGGGAGCACAGUAUGCCUAAGUGUGUAUACGUGGGGGUCUCAAUGACUGCAAGAAAUAGUAGGGGUGAGGCCAUUGCAGCUUCAUAGAGCCACAGUACAGUCUGGAGAACACACCCUCCAUCUCAUGACACCCUAGGGGACCUCUGGCAAGGGAAGAGAGCUCCAGAAGCUGGCCGGAAGUUCCCUGUGCAGGAAGGACAUGAUCACGGUGGCUCGUGGGCACUAGCCACUCUAAGGAUAAGGUUCCUCAUGGGGCCGGUUUCCUAAAAUACAAACCGGCUGAGGGAGCGUGAAAGGUGCUAACAGCUGGUCCUACUGUGGCAAAGGAGCGUGCCCAGAUGGCCUUUGGCCGGUGAAGCAAGGGUUUCUAGAAGAAAGGCCAGCCCAGUCAGAAUGUUCUCUGUGUUAGCUUUGUCUGGAGGCUGCCCUGCCUGGUCUCAAGUGAUUUGGGUGGAUAUAUAUUUUUGAUAGACUGAAAGAUUCCAGAGAGAGAGAGAGAGAGAGAGAGAGAGAGAGAGAGAGAGAGAGAGAGAGAGAGAGAGGAGAGAGACAGAGAGAGGCAGAGGAAAAAGUGCUGAUGGUAAAGGUUGCAAGGGAUGUAGCUCAGUGACCCAGCAUGCACUAGGCUCCAGGUUCCAUCCUCAGCACUACAAGCAAGCAAGCAAGAACAUCUUGUCUUUAAAAAGAGUCUGACCAUACCCAAGGUUGCUGAAGAUUUAGGUAGGGACUUGCAGUGCAACCACACAGUGGGCACUCAGCCUACCUUUCUGGGGCGCUACCUAGCCUGGCACAUCAAGAUUUAAAAUGCAGAUUACUUAACUCAUAUCUAGGACAUCUUUUGCAAGGAGCUAGCGGACCACAAAGUAGAAAGAUGAAUGGAUAAGAGCGCUCACUGCGGCACAGUUUAUCACGGGAAGCCUGAGGCAAGCUAAGCAGGCAGAGGAGGACCAGAAAAAAUAAAUGCUGGUGCCUGAUGGAAAAUUCCUCAGCAUCCACGGUUGCACAGCUCUUCAUGCCCUGACCCAGGAGAGGCCUCCAUUGCUGAUUUAAGCACAGGGCAGGCCAGCGCCUGGACCCAAAGUUUCCACCCAGAGACACCUUGGAGAGCUUAUAAAUUAUACAGAUCUCAGACUCAGACUUAAUCAGGGUCCUCAGUGGGGCAGGGAAGAUACUGGUGUUUUUAGGGAAGAAGGACCGUUCUGCCUUAGCUCUGUUUCAUUUUUGUUUUGGAGACUGGGUAGCACUUGGCCUCUUCACAUCUGUUUCCAAACAGAUCUCAAGAGCUAUUGUAGGACUUAGGAGAGAGUAGCCAAUGAGUGCUCCGAAUGCCACUUGGCAUACUUCCUUGCUGUUGUUAUUUGUAGCCACUGUUGGGGGUUGUGUGUCUUGUUGGGUGUCCCAGACUAGCUUUGAACCCACACUCCUCUGCCUCUUCUCUCUGACUACAGGCACGUGCUCUCACAAACCGCUAUUCUUACUUUUAAAACACGACUGCACAGGUGUUUCUGACCUUCCAGUUCUACUGCAAGGACAUCAAAUCAUUCCAUUCAACCACUGGUUCUUAAACCUCUUCGUGUGUGUGUGUUACAGGCACUGUUAGAAUCAGACGGUGUGAUGGACCAAUUCCCCAGGAGACACACAUGUACACCAGUAUACUUUUGUUUCCUCCACUUCCAAGGUUCAUGGGGAGUCCAGGGCCUCAGACAGGCCCCUCUAGGAGGAGCUGGCAAGGAGACAUGGCUCUAUCAGGACCCCAAGACCAGCCAGGCCCUUCGUCUGUUACCACAGCUCCUGAGGAGGCCGUUAGGCUCCCAACGGUGACCUCUAACUUGACUGUGCCUUCUCCUGUCCCUGUCCCCAGCUGGGCUGGCAUUGAGUCCUUACCAACAUCUCCACAGACACAGGCAUCUGGCCUGGAACUUUAUGUAAGAAGAGAGCAACUUGGAUUGUAGCCACGCUGGGACUUUCCCUUCUGUCCAGAGGCGGGCUUCUGGCAUCCCUCCUGGCUAGGGGUCAGGGUGCUGAGGAAGCUGACAACAUCUAGGUAUGGCAGGGAUAUGGGUGGCUCUACAGAAAGUGAGGGCUCAACACAUUUCCCUGCUUACAGGGGAGGAGCAGGCUGUGCCCUGGGCUUCCACAUUCAACCCUGCAAAACCGUAUAAAGGGACUAGCUCCUGGACACAGCUCACACUUAUGCCUGGCAGCUGGAUGGAUGGAUGUUGCUAAAGAGAAAUGCCGAUAACUUUCUGUCUGCCACGGGCUCUGUUCCAGCUGUAUGUCCUCAGGAAAAGCCACUCUUGUGAGCCUUAGCUUACACCGGUCCGUUCUUGAAGAAGGGGGUAUGAGGGGCUAACUUCACAGAGUAACGUUGGGACUGAUAAACUAGUGCAGGCUGAAGGCAGAAUGGUGCUAGCACAGUUAGUGCUCAACAUGUGACUAUGCCAAGUGGUCAGUGGCCAUCCACAACUGGGGUUCAGUAUUCCUGUCGGACCCCUGAGGCGUCUUUGGGGAAUUGAGAAAGGUCAUUUGUUUAAGCUCGGGCGUGGGACCCAGGCAGCUUCCUUUAAACAAUAUCCUAAGGGGCACCUGUCCAGCAUCAACAGUAGGGCCUUAGAGGUGCCAGUGACCACCCCCUCCAUCCUACUGUGACCUCACCCCUGAGCAGAAACAGGUAGUCUUGGCCACCCAGAUGUCACCCCAACUGCUGCCAAAUUGGCUUUCUUCCUCUGAUCCCAGAAGAAUUUGUGAACAUCGACCCAAGUUAGAGAGAAGUUGGUGAUGGAAGAGGGAGGGUAAGAGUGGACAGACUCAAAGCUUCCGGUCACGGUGAGCCAAUUUGGGAUUCUAUUCUAUAUAUGCCCACAUAGGGUCUCUGCAGGACUGGGCCUGGCUGUAGCAGAGACCAGCUUAUAAAUGUAACUGUUUGACAACUCACCUCUGCGCUCUCCUUGCAGGGACCACGACAAGUAAACCCUAGCCCUGAGUGUCUCACACCCCACUUCUAAGAGACCCCAGCCGAGACCCACAAGCUCCAUGCUCAGUGCCACCAGGUGACAAAACAGGGUCUUCAGGGUGGGACACUGGCCCCAGGUCACACAACCACACUCAAGAGCCACCCCUCUCAGCAAGAGCCGAGAAACCUCCCAGCACUAACACAUGGUACAUUCAGUGGUCCUGAGUCCUACGUCUGCGGCACCCAUGGAUUCAACCAAGCUUGCAUGAGGAACAUUGGAGGAAAAGAUUCCGUCUGUUCUGAACGUGUGCAGCAUUUUUGUGGCUGAUACCUAGGCAGUGCAUAAUGAGGAUGGACAUCGUAUUGGGUACGGUAAGUGAUCUGAAGCCCAUGGGGUGCUGGCAUAGGCUGUGUGUGAAUAUACUGCCUGCCUUUCCAAGAAGGGCCUGGAGCUUCAGCUGGAUCUGGCAUCAAGGCUGUUGGUAUCCAAGGGAAUCCCGGAGCAUUUCCUGUGGGUCUACCUGUACAUCCAGAAGGAGCUUUUCCAUCUCUGUCUGCCCACAGACAGCCCCUCUUCCUCUUCCAAACAUCAGUUGAGGCUCCAUUCUCUCCAAUUAACCUGUUGUCCUUUCCUUGGGAAGCCUGGGAGUUUAAGUUGCCAUAUAUUCUCAUGUGCUCUAGAGGCUUAGUGACAGCCCUGACCCCGUCUCCUCCUCCCUGCUAGACACACCCCUAUUCUUACCAUUUUUUCUACAUUUAUAGUUGAACCUAGGACUUCAUGCAUGCUGUAUCCCUGACCCCUUUAAAUUAUUAUUUUAAUUUUAAUUUUAAUUUUGAGAUAGAGUUAUACUACUUUACUCCAGCUGGCCUUGAACUCUCCUUAGCUCAGGCAGGUCUUGCACUUGUGACCUUCCUGCUUCAGCCUCUCGAGCAGCAGGACGUGGAUGCUAGUGUCACCAGGCCUAGCUGGCCCUGCAAAUUUGCCCACCCCUCAGCCCCACACCAGAACCAUUAGCUCAGACUUGUGCCAAGGUCGCCGCAGCUCCCAUUAGCCAGUGGGCAGGGUCUUGUGAGCUGAGCUCUAAUCAAGUCUGGCCAUUUUUUGCUUACUUUGUUUCUUUUCUCCUUCCCUUUCUCCUCUCCUCCCUUCUUGUCUUUGUCUGCUGCCCCAGGGAGAAACAGUAUCUUUAACCACCCAGCUUUCCCAAUCUUGUCACAUCUGCCAGCUGAAACUGUCCCCCCUUUUUUUUGAGGGGUUGGGGUGUCCUAUGCAUAGUGGGAUGCAUUUCCACAACCCUACUUCUGUACCCUGCCAAAUAUUCCCUGGGUGAAGGGCACAAAAUCCCCCCACAAAGGAUUACUGGUAAAGACCCGUAUUAGUACACAGCACCUGGCCCAAGGCAGGCACUUAGGCAAUCCCCACCGGACAAGAGACUUGCAUCCAGACAGUCCUUUAUCCCACCAACACCAGUUCUUUGCUUCUGAAAGGGCUCAGACCUUCAAGAAGCCACAGCCUGCACAGCUGUGCCCCAUGCUCAUUAUCGUCAUAUUAAACUAGUUUGGGGGUCUUGGCUCCACCGAUGUGCAGGUCAGGAACCAGCUGCCCUCCUCACAGCACAUCACUAGGCAUCCCUGGGGCUUUUGUUAAGUAAAUGGAGUAUCGACCUCUUUCCUCUCCUUUACAGAGAUUCCCUUGUGCAUCUGGAUCCUGCCUCGACCUCCAGGCCAUCGACCGCAUACAUUAUUGAUGUGUAGAAGAUGGCUGGUGGUGUGGGGUGGUCUGCUAUGCUCACAGAGAAAAGGCAUGCUACAACCAGAAGGUACAUGGGAAGAGGAGCUCCUUAAACAAGAACCCCACUCAGGCAAAUAUAGGGGUGGGAUGCACCCUGGAUAUUGACCGUUGGCUCGUAGUGUAGUCAUAAUAGUGUCAUGGUGUCUCCAUCAGGGACACCCUGUCAUUUAUUUAACUGUGUCCUGUGCACUGAUCCCUUAAACCCCAUCACAGUAAAAAACUUCUCCUGAUGUUUCUAAACUUGUACUAGAGGCUGGCUACUGGGAAAAGGCACUGGCUGCCAAGCCUGACAACCUAAGUUAGAUCCCUGGGACUCACAGUAGAAAGAAAAGAACCAAUACCUGUAAGUUCUGUGUAUAUGUUGCACGUGCACACACACAAGGGACAUGGCUACAUAGUGUCCUUUGGUGAGACAUCAUUCUGAACAGUCACUUGUCAGGGCUGGGAUACUAGGAACCAAAAUUUAGGAACUAGAUGGGACAGAACAAGCUGCCAUGGGUCCACAGCAAGGUGGAGGGGCUCCUGGUGAUGGCGAGUCUCCCUUUUAAGAGUCAUCUGCGGUAAACUCCAUUAAAAGAGUUCUCAGCCGCACACCCUAGGCAAUCUCUCUAGUUUUAUACCCAAUUCCAUCUUCCCUUGGGGAUGAAGAAAUGAUGUUUGGGAAGAGGCUUCCAGAAUCUGGAUCUCUCAUCUGUGCACCCUUUGACCGGUGGAUCUCAACCAGAGGCAAUUUCGGAUGUCACAACUGGAGAGGGGACAACGGGCAUCUGUUGAAUAGACUAGGCCUACAACGACAAUAGCAGUCAUCACCCAACAGAGUGACACAGGCCAAUACCAAUGACCAGACUGAGGUUGAGGAAGGCUGGUUUUACCCAUCUAAGUCAAAACUGGUGAGAGACGCUAGGAAGCCCACCAGGUCUUGGUCAGGCCCGGAAUUUGCCACCUUUCUUUGCAAGAACUUGGCUUUCUUUUAGCUCCACCCGGAAUUUCAGGUGAAGCUCCUCCUCCAAGGUCUUGGCUGUAAACUGCAACUCAGUUUCCUCAGCUCCUCUCACUGGCUUCCUGCUUCACCUGGGCACCCCAACCUGAAAUGAGCAGUGCCAAGUCGGCACCCACACCUCUGAACCCACGCAGUGUCCUUGCACACAGAGUCUUCGUUUCCUUUCUGACACAGGAAGUGGACCCUCUCGUGCUCUCUGUUUUCAUGGCCACAGGUAAAGCCCUUUUCUCCUUCCAGGGUGGAUAUGGGUUUUGCAGCAGCAUCUGGUUCUCUGAUUUCUGGAACUAGAGCCCAACUUCCCUCUGGAGCUGGGCGUCUGGUCUGAGUCAAGUGGCAGAAGUCCUUAGAAGUAGAGCUAGUGUAGAGACCAAGGGGCCUUUAGCAGGUGGGGCUUGAUGGGUCACCUUUGAUAGCUAAUGGCCUGGCUUUUUAGAUCCAGCAGCAGAGUCCUGGUCUAUGGCCAUGUGAACGACCGAUGCCAUACACUGCCACCGCCAUGCCAUCCCGCCAGGAUGAAAUCUCAACCGUGAACCAAAAUAUCCCUUUCAUUUUGUUUUGAUCAGUUAUUUUGUGUGUCAAGAAAUGUAGCUGUGAUGGGUUAUAUCAACUUGAUAGGCUCUGGACUCACCUAGGAGACAAGUUCUUGGACAUGACCAUGAGGAGUUGAUUAUCUGGAUUAGGCUAACCGAGCUGGGUAUACCCAUACUAAAAGUAGGCCACACCAUACACUGGGCUGAGGUCCCAGACUGCAUAAGGAGACCAUGAGCUGAGCACUAACGUUCAUCCCUCCCUACCUCCUGAUUGUGUAUUCAGUGUGACCAGCUGCCUUAAGAUCCUACAGCUUUGACUUCUCUGUCCUGAUCAAUUAUACCCUCCAACUUUGACCCGAGAUAAACCCUUUCUCCUCUUAA